ACUCAGAUGGGUCGUCCAAUUGGCCUCCUCCGUCGCUGCCUGAUCGACCACCAGACUUCCCGUGCGCGGAUCCUCUGCGAACAUUGAAGUCAUCAUUGCCGAAUGUAUAGUACCUUGAAAAGGAGGAGGCGCAGGGUAGACGCAUAAAUAUCAAAGGGUCGAUUUUCAGAUGACUCACCGGAUACAUCGACGGUGGACUCUCCCGGCUACCGAUGGCUGACCGCUGAGAACCAUGAGUGUCCGGUUGAUCCCUAUGGGAAGCCGUCGAGUCGCUUUGCGCCUGCCAUCGUCGGUUGCACUGUGGCUCGUGGAUCUUGAUGCUUCUGGUACCGAAUCUCCGGCCGCACACCUUACAAGCGACCGUGGGCGGGCCGACAGAGCGCGUGUUCGCCGACGUUUGUUUCGCCAUUGCCGUGGAUAAUCUCUCGAGCCUCGGCUCAUUACUCUGAGAAGACGGAUGACACAUGAAGAGAACACGGAACCGAUUACGUAAACAUUCGGGUCUACCUGACUCUCUUCCCAUGCGGCUGCGUUCCAGUCGGUGUGCUCGAUCCCGACCGACGGUCUCUGCGGCCUGGGCCGCCUCUGGGACGGAGGUAACGAGUUGUUUUCACGCUCCCAUUUCUACAACGAAAAAACUUACUAUUUGUUGCAAUUCUUUAGUAAAAGUAGAGCACACAAGAAUCGGAGGAGCAGAUGAAGCAAUUGAUAGAUGUAGUUUUAUUCGAUAAGUUUAGAAAAGUCGGUCAGAGUUUGCGUCCUUGCGAAGGAAAUCUGCAGGAAGGACAAGAUGCAAAAGUCCUUCCUUCCUUCCUUCCUUCCUUCCUUCCUGCUCAAAACCAACAGAACAAAAACGCUCGAGCGAAUUUUUAUGCCGCACGAUAUGCAGCUGUCGUAUCGAUCUCGCGCUUGCAGCGCAUUAGCAUGCUUCGGUUGUACAGUUGUCGUACAACGUUGCUAAUGUCUGUCGUUCCGAAAUAUAUAGAUAUUACGCUAUACACACGUAUCGUGUAUCGUCGCCCAGCGGCAUCGAGCGUUAGAGGUGACUCGUGCGAGUGCGGAAUUUCGCUGAUCAACCGCGAAGAUCUCGCGAUCGAUGCACGCGAUCGGGAGACGAAGAUCGGGAUGAUUGUGUUCGAUUGCUAAUCGCGGCGUUCACGCAAAUGCGAGAGACGUAGUGUCGUGUCAACUGUGUCAAAGUAUUCCCGUUGGGCAUGCUUCAUUGUUGCAGGAAAAUGCGGCCGGCCGGUCGGGAAAUAUUAUGUACAUGCAAGCACGUGCAGCGUCCGCUCGCUGUGUAUAACGCGAGUCGCGAGUACGAGUGCGACACAUCGGCUGCACGCGCGAAUGCAUCUGAUAUCGGGUUUAAUGCAAUCGAAGGCGUUUACCUCCAUGCACUUGGGCUCGUGUAUGGGGAAGCUGGCGGUGCCGA